AGAGUUUGAUCAUGGCUCAGAUUGAACGCUGGCGGCAUGCCUUACACAUGCAAGUCGAACGGCAGCACGGGUGCUUGCACCUGGUGGCGAGUGGCGAACGGGUGAGUAAUAUAUCGGAACGUACCCUAGAGUGGGGGAUAACGUAGCGAAAGUUACGCUAAUACCGCAUACGAUCUACGGAUGAAAGUGGGGGAUCGCAAGACCUCAUGCUCAUGGAGCGGCCGAUAUCUGAUUAGCUAGUUGGUGAGGUAAAAGCUCACCAAGGCUUCGAUCAGUAGCUGGUCUGAGAGGACGACCAGCCACACUGGAACUGAGACACGGUCCAGACUCCUACGGGAGGCAGCAGUGGGGAAUUUUGGACAAUGGGCGCAAGCCUGAUCCAGCAAUGCCGCGUGAGUGAAGAAGGCCUUCGGGUUGUAAAGCUCUUUUGUCAGGGAAGAAACGGAUUUUUCAAAUACAGAGAUCUAAUGACGGUACCUGAAGAAUAAGCACCGGCUAACUACGCGCCAGCAGCCGCGGUAAUACGUAGGGUGCAAGCGUUAAUCGGAAUUACUGGGCGUAAAGCGUGCGCAGGCGGUUGUGCAAGACAGAUGUGAAAUCCCCGGGCUCAACCUGGGAAUUGCAUUUGUGACUGCACGGCUAGAGUGUGUCAGAGGGGGGUAGAAUUCCACGUGUAGCAGUGAAAUGCGUAGAGAUGUGGAGGAAUACCGAUGGCGAAGGCAGCCCCCUGGGAUAACACUGACGCUCAUGCACGAAAGCGUGGGGAGCAAACAGGAUUAGAUACCCUGGUAGUCCACGCCCUAAACGAUGUCUACUAGUUGUCGGGUCUUAAUUGACUUGGUAACGCAGCUAACGCGUGAAGUAGACCGCCUGGGGAGUACGGUCGCAAGAUUAAAACUCAAAGGAAUUGACGGGGACCCGCACAAGCGGUGGAUGAUGUGGAUUAAUUCGAUGCAACGCGAAAAACCUUACCUACCCUUGACAUGUCUGGAAUCCCUGAGAGAUUAGGGAGUGCUCGAAAGAGAAUCAGAACACAGGUGCUGCAUGGCUGUCGUCAGCUCGUGUCGUGAGAUGUUGGGUUAAGUCCCGCAACGAGCGCAACCCUUGUCAUUAGUUGCUACGAAAGGGCACUCUAAUGAGACUGCCGGUGACAAACCGGAGGAAGGUGGGGAUGACGUCAAGUCCUCAUGGCCCUUAUGGGUAGGGCUUCACACGUCAUACAAUGGUACAUACAGAGGGCCGCCAACCCGCGAGGGGGAGCUAAUCCCAGAAAGUGUAUCGUAGUCCGGAUUGGAGUCUGCAACUCGACUCCAUGAAGUUGGAAUCGCUAGUAAUCGCGGAUCAGCAUGUCGCGGUGAAUACGUUCCCGGGUCUUGUACACACCGCCCGUCACACCAUGGGAGCGGGUUUCACCAGAAGUGGGUAGCCUAACCGCAAGGAGGGCGCUCACCACGGUGGGAUUCGUGACUGGGGUGAGGUCGUAACAAGGUA
rnacentral:rRNA from 1 species